rnacentral:rRNA from 1 species
CACGUAGGGUGCGAGCGUUGUCCGGAAUUAUUGGGCGUAAAGGGCUCGUAGGCGGUCUGUCACGUCGGGAGUGAAAACUCAGGGCUUAACCCUGAGCCUGCUUCCGAUACGGGCAGACUAGAGGUAUGCAGGGGAGAACGGAAUUCCUGGUGUAGCGGUGAAAUGCGCAGAUAUCAGGAGGAACACCGGUGGCGAAGGCGGGUCUCUGGGCCGAUACUGACGCUGAGGAGCGAAAGCGUGGGGAGCGAACAGG